rnacentral:rRNA from 1 species
CCGGCGACCGGCGCACGGGUGAGUAACACGUAUGCAACCUGCCCUCUUCAGGGGGACAACCUUCCGAAAGGGAGGCUAAUCCCGCGUAUAUCGGUUUCGGGCAUCCGAGAUCGAGGAAAGAUUCAUCGGAAGAGGAUGGGCAUGCGGCGCAUUAGCUAGACGGCGGGGUAACGGCCCACCGUGGCGACGAUGCGUAGGGGUUCGUGAGAGGAAGGUCCCCCACCACUGGUACUGAGACACGGACCAGACUCCUACGGAAGGCAGCAG